GAAUUUUCUUUCUGAAUUCACCUCGACUUGGUCAUUCUCCAACAGUUCCAAGCAGUUUGCCCAUAGGCGAUCCCCCCCCAAGCUUAUUAGGCCCAGCAAGCAUUCCACAAGGAAAGGUACAAAACCAGGCAACAAAUCAUUCUUCAGAAGAAUAUGAUUGCACCAGACAAAAGUUGUCCUGCUCCUGGCACAACCAGCAACAUGCAGGAAAGACUCGGUCGUAACAUCGAGAGCUUAUACAAGCCCCCAUCACCACCUCGAUUCCAACUACCCUACACUCGAAGCAUGUCCAGGCAUGCCUCCCCUUUGCAAGACAGUCUGCAGGAUAUUAAGGUGUAUCCUGCCAGUGAGCCUUUAGAUAAUCUCUUUGAAUGAGUUCAGCAAAAUGAUAUACACAUAUGCCCUACACCUUUGUGUAUAUUAAGAAACUUAUUCCUGUACUUAUCUUAAGUCACAUUUACGAGUGUAAACAUUGUUUUUACUUCUGUGUUCUAUAUUUGGAGCUGCAUGAAGGCUAAAAUGUUGCAUGCAUUUCAGUUUCUUCCUUCUUUCCUUUCCUUUCCUUCCAAUUUUGUUUACACAAAUGACUUGACAAAUGCUUCAUCUCCAAGCAGCCAAUUACAUGAGCCACCUGACCCGUAUGAAAAGUAAAACAAAAAGCAAAAACACCGCUCAGUCAUCUUGAUUGCAGAUUAUCAAUAUGAAAGAGAAUAUUUCUGCUGCCAUUUCAUUGGAAAGAGAGUAAAGUUUUGAUAAUUUGCAAAAUGAUCUUGAUUCAUCUUUAUUAAUGGGAGCCCUAGCACCUUGUCAUUUGUUACCGGGCGCUAGAUAAUAUCGAGGUGUAAAAUAAUGACUUCACCUUUCCUGGAAAUCUUGCCAUUACAUUGUCUUUUCAGACUAUAUUUCAAAUUGGUGAAUAAAUUCUGUACUACUCCCGUACCCCCUUCCGUUGUGCCAGCAAAUAACCUGUUUUUAUGGUGCUAUUGAGUAUAGUUGCUUUUUCUUCUUCUUCUUCUUCUUCUUCUUAAUUUUCAUUUCAUUUCAUUUGUUACUAGACUGCAUCAUUAGGAGAUACAUUCUUUUCCUUGUAUGCUCAAACAGGCACAAGAAUCCAGUCAAACACUCAUUCCGAGGCACCCAUUUAUAUUCCCCAUGUGAGAUAUCUGUUGAUGGCAUUUUAGCCUUCAAUAACCCUCCUCCUCUUACUCUAGGAUGAUAUUUAUUGUGACAAAGUGAAAGUGGGUCCCUUCCUAGACUUCUGAUGUCUCCCUUGGGUCAGCUUGGAGCAUAUGGAAGGGGGUGAAGGGCAGAAAAGGGGAUUUUCUUUUCUUUUCUUUUCCUUAGGGUCAUGGUGGUACUCUCAAGCAGCUCCCAUAAAAAAUAUAAAUUAACUUCAAAAACGAGACUUAUAGUAUAUUCAUCAGUGGAAUUAUUAUUUUCUUAAGGAUCUUUAUUAAUGUUAGCUUUUAAUAUGUAAUUUUUAUUUCUAUGUGAUUUUAAGAAAAAUAUGUAUAUGAUUAAUUAGAAGAACUUAAUGGAACAGCAUAUUGCAGGUUAAUAUUUGCAUUUUAUGGCUGAUCUUUAUGUUAACAGGAAAAUGUUGAUUUGUUACAGAUUUUAGAGUUCAGGGGCGGUAUUCACAAAAUCCCACACUGAAUUUUGUCUGAGACAGAAAAAAGUCUUCGACUUUUUAAGAUUCUUUGUGACUAGCAAAAAUGUCCAUAACAAAUGGAGAUAUCCCACACAUUAUCAAGAUAUCUCUGCAUCAGUAAUAGUAAGAAAACUUUCCUAACACUUUUUUUUACUUCAUGUCAAAAGUUAAUUGGGACAUUUCCUCCUUGUUUACUGCAGUUUCCUCAUAGAUAAAUAUAAGCACUGUACACUGUCUGAGCUGAGGCAAUGACAGGUAUAUGAGUGCCAUGUAAUCAUGUAAAAGAUAUUAAAUAGGAAAUAUUUUAGUCAUUAUGUACUUGAGAUUCACUAGUGAUUUAAUCUCAUCAAGUCGCUAAUAUAGGGUCUUUUAACCCAAUACCACGGGAAAGUGCUGUGCUCAUCUUUUAUUUUUUCGUAAAAUGUCUGUGCACAUUGAUGGCCUGCUAGUACUUAGCCUCAAAGGAGUCAAUUAGUAAAACUUGUGACCUUACCCGAUUUCACCUUUCUUUGAAUCACGGGAUUUUUAUUUAUUCGUUUGUUUAUUUAUUUAUUUAUUAAUUAAUGCUAUGAAUAUUGGUGUUAUUUUUAUUAUAGACAUUAUAAUUAUUAUAAUAUCAUAAACAUUUAUAAGAGCAAAAUGAGAUAAUGUAAAAUAUUUUUGUAAAUCAAGGAAAAGAGUUAACGGGCCUGACAGGCAGUACUCAUAAUUGGUUCAUUGGUGACUUAGUACACCAAUGCCCGUUGGCAUUGGAUUAAAAUGUGAAUGUUUGUACUAACUAAAUCAUAACUACAAAAUGUGACGAAAGACCAAGUCAAAGACGAAAUCGCUAAGGACAACCGCUAAAACGAGUAAUAGACAAAUUCUAAGACGAAUUUGGAGUUGUUAGCCCAGUCCUUAAAUUUGCCAAAGACCUUUUGUGAAUACCGUCCCAGGUUUAUGGUGAGGACUGAAGACCCUUACGAAUAGCCUACAAAAUAGUUUAUUAAUGAUAUAGCCAGUGGUAGGUAUUAGAGAUGGAUUACAAUGAAAAACAACAUGACAACAGUGACA
rnacentral:lncRNA from 1 species